GCCUCGUUAGCUCAAUCGGUAGAGCGUCAGACUUUUACAGUCCCUCUGACCGGAUAAGAGUCUUAAGGUUGCAGGUUCGACUCCUGCGUGAGGCA